CGGCCGCCUGGUCCUCUGUUAGGAGCACGCCACGCGGAUGAGAGAGGAAGGAGGCCGGGAAGGAGCCGGGACUGGGCAACGCUGCAGUAGGGCCGGGCAGGGAGUGCAAAAUGUACCCCUGCUCAGUAAAUAAGUACUCUGUUGCCUAAUUGCUUGGGGCUCAGACUUUGGAGAAAGAUCUCUGGGUGCACCAGCAUGAAGACUUUCCCUCGUCUCUGAGGAGCCAAGACCAGAAGGAAGGCCCAGUGAGGUUGCAUGUCAUAACCCCCACUGGCCCCAGCUUGAGCCAAGGAGACCUAGGGGAGCAACCACCUCAAAAGGAAAACUUCAACUGCAUUUAUGUUCACACGUGGUAGACUGUGGUUGACUGCUACUGAUUGGUUAACAUCCUGGAAAGCCCGACAGGGCUCCAGGAACAUUGUGUGAAACUGAAGAAGCUCCAGCCCACAGUGUGUGAACCGUCACGAAAUACCCUUUUGGCUCUCAGCAUCCUUCACCUCAGUGAGACCUCAGCUGGCUAGAGCUAAAAAAGAAUGUGAAGGAAUCAGGGAAAAGGAGAUAUUCUGUCACAUAUCCUGAAAGAAGGGAGAGCAGAUUUUGUUAGCACUUCAUCCUUCUGUUGGGGAAGAGGGUUUGACAUCAGAGUUCAAAAGGGGUUGGGGGGAGUGUUGUUAAUUUUUAGAAGUUAUAGCAUGUUUGUUGCCUCAUUCAUUAAUUCAGUGAACAAAUAGCUAUUGAUUGCAUUGUAUAUGUUAGUAACUACAAUUAUGUUGUUAUCUGGUGAACACAUUAUAUAUAACCCACUCUGGGGAGUUUGGUUACAUUUCAAGAGAGAGCUUGAUUUGAGAUACAGUAUAGACCAGGGGUGUCUGCUUUGCCUAGCAUGCAGAAUGACUUUGGGUGAACCCAUUUGAAAUAAUGUCAAGAUCUUGGGGCCUCCCUGGUGGCACAAGGGGUUAAGUCUCAGUGCUAUCAAGCAAUCACCAGCCACUGCCACCUGAGUUCGAUCCCCAGCCAGGGAGGUGACCCACUCAAGCCUCAGCUUCCAGCCAGCACCUUCUCAAGUCCCUUUCCAGUCAAGAGUGGACAAAGAGCAAAAUGGACUCCAUCGUGCAGUGGAUGGGGCUCCUUUUGGGAGCACUAAUGGGUUAAAAAUAGAACUGGACUGGGGCCUCCCUGGUGGUGCAGCGGGUUGAGCACCGCACUGUGAAGCUGUCCAUAACCUCUGCAGUGCCGGUUUCAUCCCAGCUGGCCAAGGAGCAAACCACAUGGUGCAGCAGACCUCUCCUAACUCACCCACUGCUCCCCUCAGCAGUGUAUUUCGUCAGUCUGCCUGUUCUGUUCCCCGCUCUCUCUCUGGUGAAUCCUCUCACCCUCCCGCACAUCUGGCCUGUGCCCCAUUUC